GGGUGCCAGGGACUGGGUGCCGGUGGGGUCCGCUGCGAAUACUGGGGGUGGGCAGUUGGGACUCAGGGCCCCAGGCCCUCGGGGCUGCGGGGCCGCCUCUUCCAAACGCGCCUUAAGCGGUUUUGCAGUGGCUUUCCGCCGGAGGGCUGGGAGGCGCCCCGGCCCUGAGUCAGUCACCCUUUGGCCGGACAGGCGGUUCCCGGGCGCGGAGGAUGGAAACCUGGCGGUAACCUCUGCAGGUCGUGCCACUCGGUGUGCGCAAGGUCUCCAGAGGCAUCUUUUCAUUUUUAGGGGGCACUUUCCACGAAUUCAUUUGAGCUACACAGCAGUCCUGGGCAGUGGGGAGUGGUGAGCUCCAUUGUGUACACUUGGAAGCAGCCCAGAAAGCUUCUAGCACGGUGCUUUGUGCACAGUAAACACUCCAGCGGCUGUUGACCAAUGAAUGAAUGAAGAUUGUAGGCUCAAAUAUUCAAGUUAUCAAAGUGCAAAGAAUGAGAGGUUGUUUGCACUGGACUUCAAAAAUAAAUAGCCUGGACCUGUACUGUCUUACACAACAGCUAUGAGCUACUGGUGGCUACUAGAAAAUUUAAAAUUACAGAUUUGUCUUGUAUUACAUCUCUAGAAGCUCCAACCAACAGGGGGACAGUGAAGUAUGAAGAGGAAAGCCAAUGUGAAAAAUGCCUCUCCCCGAUUCUGUCUGACUCUGUUAAAGAGGGCUUUGCUUUAGAAGCUUAACCAUUCUGAUUAUUUUGGGGGUGUGAGGUAAUCUGGAAAGUAAAAUUUACCUAAAAAUUAA
ensembl:lncRNA DHCR24-DT DHCR24 divergent transcript